rnacentral:lncRNA from 1 species
GUGUCGCUAGGCUUCGGCCCGGCCGCCGCCGCACAUAAGCUGCGAGGAGGAGCUUUACGACUUCCCGGUCUUCGGGGCCGGGCGCAGCAAGGGCCAGACUCUGCGCUAGCAGGCGCUGCGCGCCAACCGGCCGGCACCUGUCGCAGAAGGUGCAACCGAUCGCACUGUCGCGCCGAAGCUCCUCAAUGGCCAGCGCCAGCUGCAGCCCCGGCCGCCCACUCGCCUCACCUGAGCCUGGGCGAAUCUGGAUUGGGAAAGUUGACAUUAAUCAACUCAUUAUUCCUCCCAGAUUUGUAUUCUCCAGAGUAUCCGGGUCCUUCUCAGAGAAUUAAAAAGCCUGUACAGGAGCUUGAAAAAUCACAUUUGAGAAGAGGAUUGGAUCCUAGCCAUAACAUAAAUAUAAGGGUGGAACCAAAGUUUUAAUCAAAGAAGGUGGUGUUCAGUUGCUGCUUACAAUAGUUGAUACCCCAGGAUUUGGAGAUGCAGUGGAUAACAGUAAUUGCUGGCAGCCUGUUAUCAAUUACAUUGAUAUUAAAUUUGAGGACUACCUAAAUGCAGAAUCGCGAGUG